rnacentral:rRNA from 1 species
AGCAGCCGCGGUAAUUCCAGCUCCAAUAGCGUAUAUUAAAGUUGCUGCAGUUAAAAAGCUCGUAGUUGAAUUUCGGGACUAAUAUGUCGGUCGUGCCUCGGUACGUACUGGCUUAUUGGUUUCUCCUUUCUGAAGAACCAUGAUGUCAUUUAUUUGGUGUCGUGGGGAAUCAGGACUGUUACUUUGAAAAAUUAGAGUGUUUAAAGCAGGCUCACGCUUGAAUACAUUAGCAUGGAAUAAUGAAAUAGGACGUUUGAUUCUAUUUUGUUGGUUUCUAGGAUCGACGUAAUGAUUAAUAGGGAUAGUUGGGGGCAUUAGUAUUCAAUUGUCAGAGGUGAAAUUCUUGGAUUUAUUGAAGACUAACUACUGCGAAAGCAUUUGCCAAGGAUGUUUUCAUUAAUCAAGAACGAAAGUUAGGGGAUCGAAGACGAUCAGAUACCGUCGUAGUCUUAACCAUAAACUAUGCCGACUAGGGAUCGGAUGAUGUUAAUUUUUAAUGUACUCAUU